UUGGUAAUGCAGCAAAAAACUCUCAGGUGUGUGACAUUCUGUUGGAGAAACACAACAUCUAUGUGCAGGCCAUAAAUUACCCAACAGUGCCUCGUGGAGAAGAGCUGUUGCGGUUGGCUCCUUCUCCUUUCCACAAUCCCAUUAUGAUGAACUAUUUUGUAGAGAAACUGUUGGAAGUCUGGCAGGAGGUUGGACUGCCGCUGAAUGGACCAGCUAUGGCAUCCUGCACCUUCUGUGAUCGGCCUCUUUAUUUUGACCUCAUGAGCGAGUGGGAGAAGUCCUACUUUGGGAAUAUGGAGCCGAGAUACAUCACUGUGGCUGCACAGUGAGUCAGUAUCAGCAGACCAAGAUGAAGAUCUGUUUUGUCAGCACUGAAUAUUUAAAGCACUGUUUGUGGCAAUAUGUGAUACAAUAGUGUUUCUGUAUUGUUUGCUGUGACUGUUAAUGAUAAAAAAGAGAAUUUGUUUUCACAUAUUCGUAUAAAUGUACCACUAAAUUUAGUUAUUGAGAUUUUUGCUAAAUUAUACAUUAAUUGUGUGUCCCCUCUGCAUGACGACAAACCUGCACAUGGGCACUUUUUGGUAGUUUUCUGUUAUUGGUAUUAUUGUAUGUAUAUGUAUGCAUGCAAGAGUAUAUUUAAUAACAGCUUACACUGAAACUAUGCCACAUGCUGUCUUCCUGUUUUGGACCAUUUGCACCCAAAUUGAUGAAUGUAAAAAUGCAAUAAAUAUUGUCAGUUA